AAGGGCCAUUAACCCUUUCUCUGCCGGGCACACUCAGUCCCCACGCCCCACACCUAUUGUCUCCUGUGCUAGAAGCUUUGCAGAAAACCUGGAAAUUUUGGCCAGAAAUGGUGAGAAGAAAAAGCAUGAAGAAGCCGCGAAGUGUGGGGGAGAAAAAGGUGGAAGCGAAGAAACAGCUCCCGGAGCAAACUGUACAAAAACCUCGCCAAGAGUGUCGGGAGGCAGGACCGUUAUUCCUGCAGAGCAGGAGAGAGACGAGAGACCCUGAAACACGCGCCACCUAUCUUUGUGGGGAGGGAUAAUUGAAGCGCCCUGAGCGUGAGCAUCAUGUGAAAACGUGAUCGCCAAGUUUCUCUCUGGGAAAGGAUCUGGGAUAGAUUAUACCUUGAAGUCUCCGCAAACGCUUUAGUGGAAGAAAUGAAAUUCCACCUCCCUCCCUUCCUCCUCUCCCUCCCUUUCGCCUUCGCCUCCCUCCCCCCUCCCUCCCUUCUCCCCCCCUCCACCCCCCCCUCCCCGCCCGUCAAGCCUUUGGCAUCAUUAUCCUCAUCACUAAAUCCUACAGAGUACAGGGCGGAAAACGGUGCACACCAUUCACAGAACUGGAGAACUCCAAGGGGCGAAAGUUAAAGGGAAAGAUCCCGGGUCCUCAAUCCAGAUAGUCUCUUCUUAUACAGAUAUCUCUAAUGACCAGAUUUGAGAUGCACAUCAAAUUGUGUAGGUAUCUCAGUACAGCUUCUGGAACAAAGUUCUCUGCCCUUUCUCUUAUUGUUAUUUUUUUCUUUUUAGGUACCAGAGCCAGAAAAAAAAAUGCUGCAUGGGAGCUGCAUCUUAGGGCAUGUGUAUUAGGGUGUGUGCAUGAUGAAUUUCUGGACUGGAUCCCAAUAUUAAAAAGUAGUUUGGCAUUUUAAUAAAGGGUCUCUAAGUAAAUUAAAAUAGAACACUCGGUUGGCCGAUCUCUGAAUCUCUCUACACCUCGGGGAGACCUCACUACAAAGUAAGGGAGAGUGUGUAGGGAGGCAGGAGGAGAAACGAGAAAGGCCAUAGAGAAACUUAGCAGGGAAGGGAGAGCAUGAUAUUAAACGGCAUGGGGUCUAAGUUUUGGAGUAUAUAUUUUUUGAUAUUACAAUUAAAGUAAGAUUAAAAAGAAAAGACUCCACCUUUGCUCUGAAGGGAUUGGUUAUGCAAAUAUGGAAGGGAUUUCCUGGAGAAUACAGCUUUCUACUGUAUGGUUAAUUAAAUAAUCACUCAAAAGCUUCCAACGUGACGCUUCUGUCGUAAUCCAAUCAGGUUACAUAGGUCCUAAACAAGAAAGAUAUUUUCCACAUCUGGAAGUCAGCAAUUUAGCAAGUACUGCACAUUAUUAACCAAUUCAGAGCCCACUUCCCAGGGGAAUUUUUUUGAAGUUUAAGUGUUCUUAACCAAUGCUCUGCUGUUUUGUUAAUCAAAAAGCUGGUUUACACUGCACAUAAUUGGAACUAAUAUAGAAGUAAAUAAAGACAGCCAAAUUUGAGGAUGCUGAGCACAGGCAUUUAUCGGAAAAGGAAGAAAUCUCCUAUCCUCGGAUGGUUCAGGCUCAAUUUCUUAAAUAACUGUGAGACUUUUUUUUUUUUCCUAAAGAGUGAAAGUGCUUGAGAACCUCAGAGCACAAAUAAACUUCUAGCCUCACAGCAUUUAGGAUUCUUCGGAAAGGUAAAGGUGGAGGUGUUAAGAGGACCAGAGAGCUGCCUCACACCAAUUUUUAAGCUUUAAUAUUGUUAAAUAUGUUACACCCUCCUGUUUCCAGUCUGAUGAAAUCUGAAACAAAUAAUACCCUGAUCCAACACUAUAUUAAGAUAAACUGCUUUGAACUGUGCUUUGAAUGUGUGCCUAAAGCAAGACUUUGAAUGCAAGAGUCACUGGCAAUUGCACUCAAAGGAGGGACAAGCCACCACAUGGGUUGCCACAUCCACACUCCCAGAGAAAGCUUCACAUGUGAGAUAAAUGCACUCAAAGAUUCCUCACAAGUAGCUCUUUGGAGCUUCAGAUGUGAAAUGGAUCAUUCCUCAAUCUGUAAUAGACCCUUCUGUGAAGCUCUUCAAUCAAACCAGAGAAUUCAAGAGUUUCCAACACCUAAGAGUGGUAUUUGGCAAAUGGUGGGCCAAAGGAAUAAAGAAGGCAUGCAAAACUCUUGACAGAAGACAUUCAGAAAUUGAUUUGAUAUCAGAUACAAGGAGAAAAUAUGCCAGUAAGAAAAUGCAUUUUUCAAGAUUAAAUUCGGCAUUUGUUACUUAAUAGCAUUUGUCAUAUUCCAAUUUUUCAUAUGUAGUAAAUUCAUUUCAAAUCAUUUCGCUCUUCCAAGUGCCUUUGUGUAUUGUAUUUCUUUUUUCACAUCCUUUUGGAUAACAUUUGAGA
rnacentral:lncRNA from 1 species